GAUCCUGGCUCAGGAUGAACGCUGGCGGCGUGCCUAACACAUGCAAGUCGAACGGGGUUAAGGGAAAUUUCGGAUGGAACUUAACUUAGUGGCGGACGGGUGAGUAACGCGUGGAUAACCUGCCUCACACUGGGGGAUAGCAGCUGGAAACGGCUGGUAAUACCGCAUAAGACCACGGUGCCGCAUGGCACCGGGGUAAAAGAUUUAUCGGUGUGAGAUGGAUCCGCGUCUGAUUAGCCAGUUGGCGGGGUAACGGCCCACCAAAGCGACGAUCAGUAGCCGGCCUGAGAGGGUGAACGGCCACAUUGGGACUGAGACACGGCCCAAACUCCUACGGGAGGCAGCAGUGGGGAAUAUUGCACAAUGGGCGCAAGCCUGAUGCAGCAACGCCCGCGUGAGUGAAGAAGUAUUUCGGUAUGUAAAGCUCUAUCGGCAGGGAAGAAAGGCCCGAAAGGGAGAUGACGGUACCUGACUAAGAAGCCCCGGCUAACUACGUGCCAGCAGCCGC
rnacentral:rRNA from 1 species